UCUCCCACUCAAAACUGGCUCCAAUUCUCGAUCACGGGAAUAACAAGAUCAGCGACAAAACAAAAAAAAGCUGCAAGGAGAGCAAAGUCUGAGAAGAUGUUCGAACUCAGUCAACCCCAAGGGUUCCACAUGUCACAUGCACUUGGGAUGCCAGGGAAAAGCUAAUCAAAAGAUUUACCUGCGGAUCGACUGCAGCUUCUCCGAUUUUAGCGGGAUGGUCUAGUGCUCUUAAUCAACAAAAAAUCCGACGAAGUCGUAGUGCUCGAACGCACUAUUUCUUUUACAGCUCACAAAUGCGCUCCCAGCGAUAGCACCUUUUAGGGGACCCAACAGAUCCGACGAAUGCGAUUCCAAACGUAACACCAAAUAAAAGGUUGCUAAAACGAACUGCAAAAGAGGAAAGCACUAACCCCCAACACCAUUCAACACGGAGUACCAAAGCAAAAUGGAUUCCCUUCCACCUGCGAUGACGUGGCAAGGUAACGAAGCGAGAGUUCACGGAAGUUUGGCCCUCUAGUGGCAAACUUACGAAACGUCGAAUUCCGACGAAAAUCCCUAAUCGAUGUAACUAAUGAGUGGAUGCGAUGGUUAUUAACAAAAGAAAAAAAAAACAAACAAGGCUAUCAAGAUUCCAGAAAUGACGAAGACUCUAGGGGACGCUCCACGGCGUUUGUUCCCACCUAGAGUGAAGCUCUGGGAUGGCGCGAUCCAUCCAGUUCCUUAUAGCAAGAACCAAGCUGAAACGAUCCAGAAGACCGAUCUACAAACAGCGAGG